rnacentral:rRNA from 1 species
UACAGAGGUCCCGAGCGUUGUUCGGAUUCACUGGGCGUAAAGGGUGCGUAGGUGGCCUGAAAAGUUUGAUGUGAAAGCUCAGGGCUUAACCCUGAAAUGGCAUUGAAUACUGUCGGGCUGGAGGUUUGGAGGGGGGACUGGAAUUCUUGGUGUAGCAGUGAAAUGCGUAGAUAUCAAGAGGAACACCGGUGGCGAAGGCGGGUCUCUGGGCCGAUACUGACGCUGAGGAGCGAAAGCGUGGGGAGCGAACAGG